rnacentral:pre_miRNA from 7 species
UUUUGGGGUUCCUGAAUGUCACACAGAUCUCGCUGGGGCCUCCAAAUGAAAGAAACUAGUGGGGAAACCGCCACUCAACUCCCGAUUAGGUGUGCACCCAAGAAUCAUGAACAAACAG